GAAAAGGGUGGUUACACCAUUUCAGACAACUCCACUGGAAACAAGCCUGAUGCCAUUUUGAUUGGAACUGGUUCUGAAUUGGAAAUUGCUGCCAAAGCUGCUGAGGACCUGAGAAAGGAAGGGAAGACUGUUAGAGUUGUUUCCCUUGUUUCUUGGGAACUUUUUGAUGAGCAGUCAGAAGCAUACAAGGAGAGUGUUUUGCCUGCUGCUGUAUCAGCCAGAGUUAGCAUCGAGGCAGGAUCAACAUUUGGGUGGGAGAAAAUUGUUGGAUCUAAGGGAAAAGCCAUAGGUAUUGAUCGUUUUGGAGCUAGUGCUCCAGCAGGAAAAAUAUACAAAGAAUUCGGUAUCACUAAGGAAGCUGUUAUUGCUGCAGCAAAAGAGCUUAUCUAGAUGUUUUAGUUUCUUUCUGUUCAUGUAAAACUUUUCAUUUUUUCCUCUUUUGGUUUUAUUUGCUAGAGGUUGUUUUGGCAUAAGACGUUGCUUCCACUCACUCACUCACUGUUUUGCUGGAUUUCUCAUGAGAAAUUUGCCAUUUGUAAGAGUAAUAGCCUUUUGGCAAAAUAAAAGGAGGUUCCUACUUUA
rnacentral:lncRNA from 1 species